UACGUAGGGUGCAAGCGUUGUCCGGAAUUAUUGGGCGUAAAGAGCUCGUAGGCGGUCUGUCGCGUCUGCUGUGAAAACUCAGGGCUUAACCCUGAGCUUGCAGUGGGUACGGGCAGACGUAGAGUGCGGUAGGGGAGACUGGAAUUCCGUGGUGUAGCGGUGAAAUGCGUAGAUAUCUGGAGGAACACCGGUGGCGAAGGCGGCAUCCUGGACCAACACUGACGCUGAGUGAGCGAAAGCCAGGGGAGCAAACGGG
rnacentral:rRNA from 1 species